rnacentral:rRNA from 1 species
UACGAAGGGGGGCUAGCGUUGCUCGGAAUCACUGGGCGUAAAGGGUGUGUAGGCGGUUGUUUAAGUUUGGUGUGAAAUCUCCCGGCUCAACUGGGAGGGUGCGCCGAAUACUGAAUGACUUUGGAGUGCGGGGAGAGGAGAGUGGAAUUCCUGGUGUAGCGGUGAAAUGCGUAGAUAUCAGGAGGAACACCGGUGGUGUAGACG